UUUGGCGUUGUGUUAAUUCACCAGUUGUAAGAAGCAAAAAUUGAUUUCUAGUGGCUUUAAAGUCCUACUGUUUCCUUCAAACUAAAAAAUAUUUAAAUGUCAUCAAUUUACAUCUGAAUUAGAGAAACUAGCAAAUGGAGUAAUAAUACUUUAGAUAUUACGUUCUAGUACGGUUUAGAUUGUGAAGCUCUAAUUUCUUGGCCAACAUUAAAUCAAAAAGGAAAUAAUGUCAAAGGAAAUCUCUACCGUACUCAAAUUUAUAAUCAGGUGAAAUGAAAUCAACAUUUUACAUCCUUCCAUUUUCUAAGGCUAACAAUCUGCUAGGAGUAGUAUGUAAUUACUGAGUAGAGUUUUGACCUGGGGUUUCAAUUUAUUUUAUUCAUACUAUGUGUGCCUAUCGAAUUGUUUAGUCGACAUCCUCACUUUAAUUGCUCUUUGUGCUUCAAGUCUAAUAUGCUUGGAGCAUUUUUUAAGACUUUAUCACUUGUGUUUAAUGCUUUUUAUUUAUGACUUGAGAUUUCAAAUCAAUUAUAUCAAGUGUUCCAUUGUUUAACCGUGUAGGGUACUGAAAUGCAUUUCGUAUUCACGUCAUACUCAGAAUGUGAGGCUUUACUCUUUUGUUUUUCCCCGGUAAACAGAUGGACAAAGUUGUACCCUUAAUCUUAUAUUCACUCUGAUGGCAUCAACCAUUUGUACAUUGUCAUAUUCUAUCUUCUUUUUUUUUUUUUUUUAUAUGCAACUGUGAUUCAACCUUUUUUUCCCAGGAUCAGUGUGUAUGAGAGACCAUGUUCCAGCCAGGGGCGGAACUACAGGGGUGCAAGGGGUGGCAAUCGAAUCCCCUUCGUCGGAAAAUUGCACUAUAUAUACACGGUGAAUUUUUUUAUUCAUGUAUAAAUAUUAUUUUUGCAUCCCCUUUAACAAAAUGGAGAUUUCGUAUCAGUGGAUGAACCAUUUGGGAUAAAAGAAUCCCUAAUUUCAAAAUGUGUUGACAUUGUUCUUUGUCAACACAAUUGUGCUGCUGCUGGCUGCUUUUUUUACUCAAACUUCAAAGGUCCUCUGCUCCUGUUUAUCUUCUCCACCCCUGCGCCUACUCCGUCAUCUUCUUGGGCCUUCGCCCAUGGCUUCCAAUUCCAAGGUGGAGAACUAUGAGUAAAAGUUGAAAACUUUAUGCAGUGAGCACAUACAUGCGGAAAAGGAAAUAUCCUACUGUCUUGAAGGGAGUGGAUAUCUUGAUGUAAAGAACCAAGGAAGGUUGAUUCAUCAAGUUGUGACUUAAAGAGGCAAUUCUAUCCUUUAUAAUGUUUGUUGCCGUAUGAGAUCAAAGGCAAGAAAAACAUAAUGCAGUAUGAAACAUCGUAGUUUUGUGAUCUUAUCUCCUGGUAUAUAUGACGUGUAGAAACCAGAUAAACCAUGCUUGGAGCUUGAGGAAUGGUUCUUUUUGUGGCUAUAAUCCUUGUCAGUUACAUUCCUAUAUGGAUUGGGUACAGAUGGAUGAGGUUACAGUUGGACUAUACAUGCUCAUGAUCAGAUGGAUGAGGUCAAGAAGUAACGACAUGAAGUUAGCAGUGGGACUAUACGUGAUGGAGAAAUUUUGCCCUUCAUGUUAGUAUUUUGGGCUAAUUGCCUAUGGUCAUUUGACGUGUCUUUUAACCAGGAAUUGCUUUGCCCUCUAUCCCAUUCGAUGUCUUUCUCUCUCUCUCUCUCUCUCUCUCUAUUCUUCUCUGAUCAUCUAAGAUUAACAAUCAUAUUUGUCGUCGUGUGCUCUUCCUCAAAGCUCCUUCUGCGUUUUGGAUUGGCUCUAUUAUCAUCGUUCUUGCUUAUUACUUGUGAUUUAUCUGUUAAAUGGGCAAUAGAUGAUGGGGGUUAGGGCUCUUUGUUUCUUGGAGUUCACUUUUAUGACUCUGAAAGGCCUGCCAUUAGACAUUGGGAAUUUGCGGAGUUUACGGCCGAGGAUGUUGGGCAAACAGUGAUGAAAGGAUUUUCCUUCCGCUAAAUGAAUAGGAACCAAAAUGAAGAGUCAAUUCAGAUGCAUUAACAACAUCCAGCUCUGUUAACUAAGAGUAUUUUGAGGAGUGACUUUAUGCAUUUUCCCCUCCCAAUCGUGCUACAAAAAUUUGAAGAGUACUGAUCGUUGAGCAAGUGCAUAAAUGUGAAUAAUUGAUAUUCUUGGUGGAUAAAGAUGAUGAAGGGACUGUGCUUCGGAUAUUCACCAAGCUUGUGGAUGACUGAUAUGCGUAUUCACCUUUUUUCUUUUCCUUGCCCCUUUUUUUUUUAAAUGUACCUUCAGAUGCAAAUCUUUGUUAAGACCUUGACUGGGAAGACCAUUACCCUCGAGGUUGAGAGCUCUGACACCAUUGACAAUGUCAAGGCGAAGAUCCAGGACAAGGACGGCUCCCUCCAGAUCAGUAAAGGUUGAUCUUUGCUGGAAAGCACCUCGAGGAUGGACGAACUCUUGCUGACUACAACAUCCAAAAGGAAUCCACCCUCCACCUUGUCCUCCAUCUACGUGGUGGCAUGCAGAUCUUUGUGAAGACCUUGACAGGGAAGACCAUUACCCUUGAGGUUGAAAGCUCCGACACCAUUGACAAUGUUAAGGCAAAGAUCCAGGAAAAGGAAGGCAUCUCUCCUGCCAAGCAGAGGUUGAUCUUCUCUGGAAAGCAACUCGAUGAUGGACGACCUCUUGCCGACUACAACAUUCAAAAGGAGUCCACCCUCCACCUCGUGCUUCAUCUAAGGGGUGGCAUGCAGAUUUUUGUUUAGACCUUGACUGGAAAGACCAUUACUCUUAAGGUUGAAAGCUCGGACACCAUUGACAAUGUCAAGGCAAAGAUCCAGGACAAGGAAGGCAUCCCUCCAGAUCAGCAGAGGUUGAUCUUUGCUGGAAAGCAGCUCAAGGAUGGACGAACUCUCGCCGACUACAAUAUUCAAAAGGAGUCCACCCUCCACCUUGUUCUUCGGCUGAGGGGUGGUAUGCAGAUCUUUGUUAAGACAUUGACUGGGAAGACAAUCACCUUGGAGGUCGAAAGUUCUGAUAUAAUUGAUAACGUGAAGGCGAGGAUAAAGAGGGGAUUCCUCCAGAUCAGCAGAGGAUGAUUUUUGCUGGAAAGCAACUCAAAAAUGGGAGGACCCUUGCUGAUUACAAUAUCCAGAAAGAGUCCACUCUACAUUUGGUGCUGCGUUUGAGGGGAGGCAGGCAGAUAUUUGUCAAGACUCUAACCGGGAAGACCAUCACUUUGGAGGUGGAGAGCUCGGACACUAUUGCUAAUGUGAAAGCCAAGAUUCAGGAAAAUGAGGGUAUUCCACCAGAUCAACAGAGGCUGAUUUUUGCUGGUAAGCAGUUGGAGGGUGGUCGUACCCUUGCAGAUUAUAACAUACACAAAGAAUCUACCCUUCACCUUGUGCUUCGUCUCCGUGGUGGCUAUUGAGAUGUUAAUUCCCUGCUUGCUUUGAUAUGUUCCGUUUCCUUGGAUCUUUUCUAUGAACAAUCUUUAAGAUUUCUGUUCUUGUUAUGAUGCUGGCAGACUCUUUAACAUGUGUGUGACUAUGCCUUGACGGCAUUUGUUUAUUUUGUUUUGUGUUUAAAACAGUUGUUUUCUUCUUUUUCUGUUGGCUUUGUCUGAAUAAAGUACUUUUUAUGGUAUAUUUCUUGUAUGAGCAUGUCUAUAUCAUUUCUUGGUUAUCCAAUGAAAUAUGAAUCAGAUUAGCGAA